AACGAACGCUGGCGGCAGGCUUAACACAUGCAAGUCGAACGAACAUAGCAAUAUGUUAGUGGCAGACGGGUGAGUAACGCGUGGGAAUGUGCCCUAUGGUUUGGAAUAACUCAGGGAAACUUGAGCUAAUACCGGAUAAUCCCGAGAGGGGAAAGAUUUAUCGCCAUUGGAGCAGCCCGCGUCUGAUUAGCUAGUUGGUGAGGUAAUGGCUCACCAAGGCGACGAUCAGUAGCUGGUCUGAGAGGAUGAUCAGCCACACUGGGACUGAGACACGGCCCAGACUCCUACGGGAGGCAGCAGUGGGGAAUAUUGGACAAUGGGGGCAACCCUGAUCCAGCCAUGCCGCGUGAGUGAUGAAGGCCUUAGGGUUGUAAAACUCUUUUAUCCGGGAAGAUAAUGACUGUACCGGAAGAAUAAGCCCCGGCUAACUUCGUGCCAGCAGCCGCCGCAGUAA
rnacentral:rRNA from 1 species